GAAACGACUGCUAAGACUGGAUAGGAAAAGUAAAGGCAUCUUUACUUUUUUAAAAGAUCUUCUUUGAAGGUAUGCUUAAGGAGGGGCUUGCGACACAUUAGUUAGUUGGUAGGGUAAAGGCCUACCAAGACUAUGAUGUGUAGCUGGACUGAUAGGUUGAACAGCCACAUUGGGACUGAGACACGGCCCAAACUCCUACGGGAGGCAGCAGUAGGGAAUUUUCGGCAAUGGAGGAAACUCUGACCGAGCAACGCCGCGUGAACGAUGAAGUACCUCGGUAUGUAAAGUUCUUUUAUUAAGGAAGAAAAAAGAGUGGAAAAACUCCCUUGACGGUACUUAAUGAAUAAGCCCCGGCUAAUUACCUGCCAGCAGCCGCGGUAAUACAUAAGGGGCGAGCGUUAUCCGGAAUUAUUGGGCGUAAAGGGUGCGUAGGCGGUUUAAUAAGUCUAUAGUUUAAUUUCAGUGCUUAACGCUGUUGUGCUAUAGAAACUGUUUUACUAGAGUGAGAUAGAGGCAAGCGGAAUUCCAUGUGUAGCGGUAAAAUGCGUAAAUAUAUGGAGGAACACCAGAGGCGUAGGCGGCUUGCUGGGUCUUUACUGACGCUGAGGCACGAAAGCGUGGGGAGCAAACAGGAUUAGAUACCCUGGUAGUCCACGCCGUAAACGAAGAGUACUAAGUGUCGGGUAAAACUGGUACUGAAGUUAACACAUUAAGUACUCCGCCUGAGUAGUACGUACGCAAGUAUGAAACUUAAAGGAAUUGACGGGACUCCGCACAAGCGGUGGAUCAUGUUGUUUAAUUCGAAGAUACACGAAAGACCUUACCAGGUCUUGACAUUUUCUUGCGAAGUUAUAGAAAUAUAAUGGAGGUCAUCAGGAAAACAGGUGGUGCAUGGUUGUCGUCAGCUCGUGUCGUGAGAUGUUAGGUUAAGUCCUAAAACGAGCGCAACCCUUGUCGUUAGUUGCCAGCAUGUAAUGAUGGGGACUUUAACGAGACUGCCAAUGAAAAAUUGGAGGAAGGUGGGGAUUACGUCAAAUCAUCAUGCCCCUUAUGAUCUGGGCUACAAACGUGAUACAAUGGUUGAUACAAAGAGUAGCUGAAACGCGAGUUCUUAGCCAAUCUCAAAAAAUCAAUCUCAGUUCGGAUUGAAGUCUGCAACUCGACUUCAUGAAGUUGGAAUCGCUAGUGAUCGCGAAUCAGCAUGUCGCGGUGAAUACGUUCUCGGGGUUUGUACACACCGCCCGUCA
rnacentral:rRNA from 1 species